CAAGCACUACGUCUACUAAAAAAAUCCUUUCAGUGGUCAUAUCCUGUGAAAGCAGACUAACAGUAAGACUCUCUGAAAAAUUACAUUGUUCAUCCCAGAUAUGGCAGCUGGACAUAUGUUUUUGGUCUUCCUCAUUUUCUAUACCUUCCAAUAUGUCAAAGCCCAAGAUCGUCCUAAGCCCAGUCUGACUCUGAAUCAUGCAGUCAUCAGAGAGAGAGACUCAGUUCAGCUGAUCUGUGAGACUCCAUCUGUAUCUGAGUCUCAGUGUCACUUCAUCAUAGAGGGGAAACAGAUCUCACAUCCUUCACCAUGUCAGAGCACACUAACAGGAUAUCAGCUGCUUCACUGGGCAGGUCAAAGUUCACCUGUUGAGGUCAAAAUUCUAUGUUUCUACAUGGUAGAGACAAACUAUUCAUCAACACACAGUGACCCUGUCUCAUUGAGGAUUCUGGAUCAACGAAACCUCCCUCAGCCCAAUCUGAUAGUGAUUCCCACAGUUAUCAGAGAGGGAGACUCAGUUCAGCUGAGCUGUGUGACUCCUCAAUCUCUCUCUGAAUGUCAGUGUGGUUUCUAUGAAGACACGAAACUUCAUCUACCAGAACGAUCCUGUGAACAGACGGUCACAGGAACUCAGCUGCUUUCUUGGGCAGGCCAAAAAUCGUCAGCUGUGCUCCAGGUGCAGUGUUUCUACGUUGUAGAAAGAUAUUACCCAUCUCCUUCCAGUAAACCAGUCAUUGUCACAGUCCAGGGUUCAACCACUUCUUUGACCUCCAUGGCAACAUCAUCAGGUUUGACCACUCCUUUGACUCCCAGCAAGGCAGUGAAUCCUACAUCAGGUUCAACCACUUCUUUGACCCCGACAGCAAUGACAUCAGGUUUGACCACUCCUUUGACUCCCAGCAAGGCAGUGAAUCCUACAUCAGGUUCAACCUCUUAUUUGACCCCCACAGCAACUACAUCAGGUUGGACUGUUAGUGCUACUUUGGCAAGUGACACCCCAAAGAGAACAAGUGAAGGUUUGACUGUUAGUUCUACUUUGACCACUGGUACCCCACAGAGUUCAACUGAAAGAGAUCAAAGUUCCCCAAAAAAUGAUGUGGAAGCCAACCAAGAGAGCAGUUUGGUGAUAUUAUGGCUUGCUGCAGUGGGUGUGGCUUCUGGAGUGGGUGUAUUCCUGGUGGGAUUGACAGUUGUUCGUCUCUGUAAGAAGACCAAAAGAAAGAAAUCUCAGAGACCUCCAGCCCAACAAGACAAUCAUGACCAACGUCCUGUUGGAGAGAAUGGAGAAUCAUCUGAAUAUGUCAAUUUUGAUACAUACCAGGAGUACUAUUCAAUCCAGCCUCAGCCCAAUGGCUUUCUGUAGAUAGUCUUCAAAGGUUUUAGUAUAGUUAAAUGUUCUAUUAUUAUUCUUUAUUCAAUCUCUUUGGAUUUGAAAUUGUCCACUUAUGUGCGAAAGUAUUAUCCAUAUUGGAUGAACAAUUUUAAAAUGACAAUGUUUUGUACAUAUUUCCUCCAUUAGGGUGCCAUAUGUAUUUCAACUGUUAUCUUCAAAACUGUUUCUUAUUAGAUUGUUUUUGAUUGCUUGUAUUAAAAGUGCAUAUCCAGCAG
rnacentral:lncRNA from 1 species